rnacentral:rRNA from 1 species
UACGACUACAUAUCAGGCAUAUCAAUAAGCGGAGGAAAAGAAACUAACUAGGAUUCCCUCAGUAACGGCGAGUGAAGCGGGAAGAGCUCAAAUUUGAAAUCUUAAAGGGUUUCCCUUUACGAAUUGUAGUUUAAAGAAGUGUUUUCUGUUGGAGUUUCGGUAAAAGUUCUUUGGAAUAGGACAUCAUAGAGGGUGAGAAUCCCGUAUUUGACCGUUACUUUCCAGCUGUGUGAUACACUUUCAAAGAGUCGGAUUGUUUGGGAAUGCAGUCCAAGAUGGGUGGUAAAUUUCAUCUAAAGCUAAAUAUUGGCGAGAGACCGAUAAGCGAACAAGUACCGUGAGGGAAAGAUGAAAAGAACUUUGAAAAGAGAGUUAAACAGUACGUGAAAUUGUCAAAAGGGAAGCGUUUGACACCAGUGUUGUUUAGUUGAAAAUCAAUUAAAUAGUCUUUCGAUUCUAAGUAGUAUUGACCUUAUCAGCUUGCUGCUUUUUUCUCAGAAAUUAUUGAAUGCACUUUUCAGUUAACAAGUCAACAUCAAUUUCUUUUGUUGUAAAAAGGGUAAGAGGAAGGUGGCUUGCGCUUCGGCUCAAGUGUUUAUAGCCUUUUAUCUCCUGCAAUCGGAGAGAUUGAGGUCUGCAGCGUAGAUCCUUCGGGGUUAGAUACAUUGGUGCUAAGCUAUAGCCUUGUAUAGACAACUUGUUGACUAUGCUCAGUCAUGUAGCUUACUCGCUUGUAGUAUUUUACCUACGCUUAGGAUGUUGAAUCUGUGCGAGACUAC